UACAGAGGGGGCAAGCGUUGUUCGGAAUUACUGGGCGUAAAGCGCGCGUAGGCGGCUUUGCAAGUCGGGUGUGAAAUCCCCAGGCUUAACCUGGGAACUGCAUCCGAGACUGCAUAGCUAGAGUAUGGGAGAGGGAAGUGGAAUUUCAGGUGUAGCGGUGAAAUGCGUAGAUAUCUGAAGGAACAUCAGUGGCGAAAGCGACUUCCUGGACCAAUACUGACGCUCAUGUGCGAAAGCGUGGGGAGCAAACAGG
rnacentral:rRNA from 1 species